CGUGGGUAACCUGCCCAAGAGAUCGGGAUAACACCUGGAAACAGAUGCUAAUACCGGAUAACAACAGAUGAUGCCUAUCAACUGUUUAAAAGAUGGUUCUGCUAUCACUCUUGGAUGGACCUGCGGUGCAUUAGCUAGUUGGUAGGGUAACGGCCUACCAAGGCGAUGAUGCAUAGCCGAGUUGAGAGACUUAUCGGCCACAUUGGGACUGAGACACGGCCCAAACUCCUACGGGAGGCAGCAGAG
rnacentral:rRNA from 1 species